ACGACAGACAACAGACCUCAGAUGAAAUAAUCUGAAGUCUGAAAUCUGAGAUCUGGUAUCUGGUGUCUGGUGUCUGUGUUAGUGGCGGACGGUGAGUAACGCGUGAGCAACCUGCCUAACAGAGGGGGAUAACGUAUGGAAACGUACGCUAAUACCGCAUAACAUAUGUUUGUCGCAUGGCAGACAUAUCAAAGGAGCAAUCCGCUGAUAGAUGGGCUCGCGUCCGAUUAGAUAGUUGGUGGGGUAAAGGCCUACCAAGUCAGCGAUCGGUAGCCGGACUGAGAGGUUGAACGGCCACAUUGGGACUGAGACACGGCCCAGACUCCUACGGGAGGGCAGCAGUGGGGGAUAUUGCACAAUGGGCGAAAGCCUGAUGCAGCAACGCCGCGUGAGGGAAGACGGUUUUCGGAUUGUAAACCUCUGUCUUUGGUGAAGAAAGAAAUGACGGUAGCCGAGGAGGAAGCCACGGCUAACUACGUG
rnacentral:rRNA from 1 species